AGCACUGUGGGUGCUGACAGUUAUCACCCUCCAUUUCCUCUCUUUUGCUGAACAGAAAGUGGCUUCACCUGGAGACCAUGGCGUCCACUUGAUGAGUCCACAUUGCUGUCAUCUUUUGUUGGAAAUCUCUCCUAGAAAUGCCUGUUCUUUGGCUGGAAAAGGUUAAGAUUCAGGUCAUUCUACAAAACCCACCAAGCAGCCGUGUGAAAUAUGACACAGAUCUUCAAAUCACAGACCUUACUGAAGGGGUAAGGAGUAGAAGGCUGAAAGAAAGACUGUUCGUUCACUUUCAAGCAUGAAUCUUCCACUGCUGUGAGACGCCGGUGCCCGAAUAACUGGCAAGGACCUCCAGGACAGUGUUGAAUAGAAGCGUCAAAAGAGGCAUCUCCCUUACUGCCAGACUCAGAGGGCAAGUUUUCAGCAUUCCAUUUUAUCUAUGACAUUGGGUGAAGAUUGCUCUUUUCCUUUGUAGAUACCUUUUAUCAGAUUAUGGACAUUACCUUUUAUUUCUAA